UACAGAGGUCUCAAGCGUUGUUCGGAUUCAUUGGGCGUAAAGGGUGUGUAGGUGGCGCCGUAAGUCGGGUGUGAAAUUUCGGAGCUUAACUCCGAAACUGCAUUCGAUACUGCGGUGCUUGAGGACUGGAGAGGAGACUGGAAUUCAUAGUGUAGCAGUGAAAUGCGUAGAGAUCGUAAGGAAGACCAGUGGCGAAGGCGGGUCUCUGGACAGUUCCUGACGCUGAGGCACGAAGGUCAGGGGAGCAAACGGG
rnacentral:rRNA from 1 species